rnacentral:rRNA from 1 species
UACGUAGGGUGCGAGCGUUAAUCGGAAUUACUGGGCGUAAAGCGUGCGCAGGCGGUUUUGUAAGACAGAGGUGAAAUCCCCGGGCUCAACCCGGGAACUGCCUUUGUGACUGCAAGGCUUGAGUGCGGCAGAGGGGGAUGGAAUUCCGCGUGUAGCAGUGAAAUGCGUAGAUAUGCGGAGGAACACCGAUGGCGAAGGCAAUCCCCUGGGCCUGCACUGACGCUCAUGCACGAAAGCGUGGGGAGCAAACAGG